AGUGAACGCUGGCGGCGUGCUUAACACAUGCAAGUCGAACGAGAACGGAUUAUAGCUUGCUAUAAUUGUCAGCUAAGUGGCGCACGGGUGAGUAAUGUAUAGGUAAUAUGCCUCUUACUAAGGGAUAACAAAUGGAAACGUUUGCUAAUACCUUAUACUCCUUAUUAACAGAAGUUAAUAAGGGAAAGAUUUAUUGGUAAGAGAUUAGCCUGUAUUGUAUCAGUUAGUUGGUGGGGUAAUGUCUUACCAAGACUAUGACACAUAACUGGUUUGAGAGGAUGAUCAGUCGCACUGGAACUGAGACACGGUCCAGACUCCUACGGGAGGCAGCAGUGGGGAAUAUUGCACAACGGACGAAAGUCUGAUGCAGCAACGCCGCGUGGAGGAUGACACAUUUCGGUGCGUAAACUCCUUUUAUAUGAGAAGAUAAUGACGGUAUUAUAUAAAUAAGCACCGGCUAACUCCGUGCCAGCAGCCGCCGUAA
rnacentral:rRNA from 1 species